UGUGUGGACAGAAUACCGUCUUUCAAGAGCCAGGAGCUAUGGGAGUCUAGCCGACAUGGGAUCAUGGGGAAGAGGAAAAAACGAAGGAAGGACCUGGGGCCAAAUAGCCACAGACAAAGUCCUCUUGGAUGAGGCAGGUUCUCCUCUGGCUGGAGGCUAGUGCCUGCACCUGUCAGCUCAGCACCCUGAUGGAUCUCUGUGCGAUUCGCCUCUGCCCCGCCUGCCCCUUAAUGAGCACUCUGGCCCCGGGAAACAGAGCAUAUGGAUCUCUCCUAAAAACACCCAAGACCAAAUACCAUGACCAUAUCAAAGGAUUCCCUUCUUCCCAUUCAUCUCUCCAGCCUCCUUCAAAGACAGGGAUGAACCCC